UACAGAGGUCCCAAGCGUUGUUCGGAUUCACUGGGCGUAAAGGGCGCGUAGGUGGUCUGAUAAGGGUGUGGUGAAAGCCCGGGGCUCAACCCCGGGUCGGCCGUGCCGACUGUUAGACUAGAGUGCUGUAGGGGCAGGCGGAAUUCCGGGUGUAGCGGUGGAAUGCGUAGAGAUCCGGAGGAAGACCGGUGGCGAAGGCGGCCUGCUGGGCAGUUACUGACACUGAGGCGCGACAGCGUGGGGAGCAAACAGG
rnacentral:rRNA from 1 species